rnacentral:lncRNA from 1 species
GUCAUACUGAUUUUUUUAAUCGAAAGCCUAUUUACACAACUACCUGACCGUACAGAUUGUUUGUUUUAGAUGUAUUUCGUUUCGCUCAUCAAUGAGAUUAAAGUUAGAAAACGACGGCUGUUAAAUCGUUGAUGCUCGUUAUUUUCGUUGGUUUGAAAAAGCUUAUGAACAUUUCGCAUGGAGCGUCUGCAUGGAGCGAUGACCGUUCGUCAAGAGAGCUGGCAUGUGUUUUCACAAUGUUAUUUUAAUAAACCUUACCGUUUAUUCACGUUUAACCCUAUGGCCUGCCCUCGGUUUCGUGUUUGCCAGUUUUGGCAUGACUGGCGUACAUUAAGGUUAUAUUCCCAUGUUUCCUUCACAAUUUGGUUCCUGGUUGAUCUUAAGCCCAAUAACAAGUAAGUUCUUAACCCUAUUGUGCACGAAACACAAGUAAAUACCUGACACGAAAACGAGGCCAUUGGAUCAAACGUCAAUAUAUAGAGGAUAUUACACAUCGGCGCGAAGAUAUGACUUUUAUCUUCGAGUAUAACUAUAUAGUAUAUAUAAGUCCCAAGCAAAAAAAAUGUGAAAUUUCACGCUCGAAAGCAAAUUGUCAAAUUAUCACGUGAUCGAUAUCUUCACUAGUGAAGAUAUGGCCAAAUAUCUCACUGUGUAUUUUUCAGUAUCUCACUCUCUACUAUAUAAUAAAAAACGAUAAGGUCUAUUCGCUUGUUGCUAUAAAUUUCAACAUGAUCUUUGAUGACCAUCUGUUGUGCAAUGAAAUCCAUCCAUAGCGUGGCGACGAGGUAUAUUGUCUCCCAGUAGUCCAUUGCAGCCCAAGAAGAACUGACGCUUUCUUUGUUCAACACUUCAUAAGAUUUCUUGUAGCCUUGUCAGUUGAGUACUCCAACCUUAUUAAUGUUCCUAGUGAAAACAGAAGUAUCCAUUACAUCACUUAGUCCGGCCUUAUGUUUUCUUCCGAAUUCAAUCAUCUUCUUUCUUGUGGAACUACCUAUCAUCAUUAGGAUAUCAAUGUAAGUAGGUUGGUAAGUAUAGGUAGGUAUGUAGGUAUAGAUAGGUAGCUAGUAGGUAUAGGUAGGUAUAGGUAGGUAUAGGUAGGUAGGUAUAGAUAGGUAUAGGUAGGUACUUUAGGUGGGUAGAGGAAGGUAGUUAGGCAUGCAAAUAUACUGUUUAUAGGUAGAUACAGUAGAUAGGCAGGGCCUCUAAAAAAAUUUGCAAAAGGGGGGCC